rnacentral:pre_miRNA from 9 species
UUUCGAUAGCGUAAAAGUUAACUCAAAUUUGUAUGGAGUUGGAACGUUUGCCGCUUGGGGCGCUGUUCCAACUGCAUACAAAUUCGAGUUAACUUUUACACUGUCGA